GGGACUUGGAUUACUUAGAGAGAGAGAAGAGUUGAAUUGUUUCACUUGCAGAAACUGUGGCUGCAGGGAGCAUCCAAAGGGAUCGCAUUGAUCCCUUGAGACACGUUUUCUUCAUUGACAGUAAUCGGAUCAUGCGAUCUUUUUGGAUACCUCCUCCGGCCACUUUUACUAUCCGCCCAUCCUUCACUGGACUUCCCUCUUUCCAUGGAGAAAUCCCUGCGUAGGUAGGUUCGAGCAGGCUGCUGACUGCCUGAGAAUACCCUAAGAGAAGUCAUCUCCAGAGGAAGUUGAUAGGGAGAACAUGCAUCAUCAAUUAUAAGUGUUUGUUUCACUCAUGCUUCAACAGGUUCUCUGAGCAUUUACUGGAAGAAGAAGAAGAAGAAGAAGAACUUGAUGCACUGCAUGAUGGCCCUGCAAAAAGUUUUUGGAUUACUGUCGAAGGUCACAAGUACUUGUUCUAAGUUUCUUGCUACUUGCAUGAUUCUACACAACAAGUAUAUUGAUGUGUUGAGAGCUGAUACAUAAUUAGUUGAGGACUUUGAUGAAGAAAAUUUCCACAAUUUUUUUU